UAUUCACGUACAGGUUAGUCAGCUUGGAUCGGCAGCUCAGAAAUAUCAGCAAGCCGCUCAAAAUGCAACAACAGAUUCUGCUCUUCCGGAGUUACAAAAUAAUUGCAACAUGUUUGUUGCAUCUGCUAGACAAUUGGCAAAGGCCCUAGAAGUACCACUCGUGAAUGAUUUGGGAUACACAAAGAGAUAUGUUCGGUGUUUGCAGAUCUCGGAGGUGGUAAAUAGUAUGAAGGACUUGAUAGAUUAUAGCAGAGAAACAAGAACAGGACCAAUGGGUGUAAGUUAAUGUGACCUCCUGACAUAGAUACAAAGCAUUCCAACACUUCGAUAAAGACAACAGUGGGCACAUAACUAGGGAUGAGCUGGAAAGUGCCAUGAAGGAAUAGGGAAUGGGAGAUGAAGCUAGCAUAAAAGAAGUUAUAUCCGAAGUUGAUACCGACAAUGAUGGAAAAAUAAACUUUGAGGAAUUUUGCGCAAUGAUGAGAAGCGGCUCCACGCAGCCACAAGGGAAACUGCUUCCAUUCCAUUGACCACGACGGCAUAGAUUCCAACACUUUAUCAACCGAAGCGAUUCUUAAACCCGGAGAAGAAGAGUCAAACCGGGGAAAAACCGAGAUGGGAGUAGUUGAUAUACUGUCUCAAAAUGUUCUACUUUUCUUCUCUGUGUUUGAACAGAUUUAUUUAUCCUUCUCCUUAGUUAGUCUGAAACUGAGUUUGAGAUACUGUCAUGUCUUAGCUCUUUGUAACAAUUACAAAUCCAGCUCUUUUUUGUGUAACUUAUUAAGACUUCCAAAGAGUAA